GAUGAAGAACGUAUCGAAAUGCGAUAAGUAAUGUGAAUUGCAGAAUUCAGUGAAUCAUCGAAUCUUUGAACGCACAUUGCGCCCGCCAGUAUUCUGGCGGGCAUGCCUGUUCGAGCGUCAUUUCAACCAUCAAGCCCCCGGCUUGUGUUGGGGACCUGCGGCUGCCGCAGGCCCUGAAAAGCAGUGGCGGGCUCGCUGUCACACCGAGCGUAGUAGCAUACAUCUCGCUCUGGGCGUGCUGCGGGUUCCGGCCGUUAAACCACCUUCAUAACCCAAGGUUGACCUCGGAUCAGGUAGGAAGACCCGCUGAACUUAAGCAUAUCAAUAAGCGGAGGA
rnacentral:misc_RNA from 1 species